AGCAGCAGCAGCAGCAGCAGCAGCUAAUAUGGCGACAGGGCUUUCAAACCGGCGGUCAGAGGGCAAGGCGAGCGAGCGCGACGGCCGUCCGUCGCGCUCGCAUCCUACGUGCCGCCGGCCGGUUGGCUCCGCGCGGCCGCCCACGGCCGCCCCGCGCGCCCUGCCAGCCACCCGUCGUUGCGGCGCCGAGAAGGACGAAGCGGUCGCACAUGCCGGUCGCCGUCGCCUCCGUCGCGCUCGGCGCCGGAUGCCGCCAAGCGAGCGCUUUUCCGGGCGCGCCGCGCUGGCUCGCUUCACCUCCCGUUAUUUAUCCCGG
rnacentral:misc_RNA from 1 species